rnacentral:rRNA from 1 species
GAUGAACGCUAGCUACAGGCUUAACACAUGCAAGUCGAGGGGAAACGACAUCGAAAGCUUGCUUUUGAUGGGCGUCGACCGGCGCACGGGUGAGUAACGCGUAUCCAACCUGCCCAUCACUUGGGAAUAACCUUGCGAAAGUAAGACUAAUACCCAAUGACAUCCCACGAAGACAUCUGAAUGGGAUUAAAGAUUUAUCGGUGAUGGAUGGGGAUGCGUCUGAUUAGCUUGUUGGCGGGGUAACGGCCCACCAAGGCAACGAUCAGUAGGGGUUCUGAGAGGAAGGUCCCCCACAUUGGAACUGAGACACGGUCCAAACUCCUACGGGAGGCAGCAGUGAGGAAGAUUGGUCAAUGGGCGAGAGCCUGAACCAGCCAAGUAGCGUGCAGGAUGACGGCCCUAUGGGUUGUAAACUGCUUUUAUAAGGGAAUAAAGUGGGUCUCGUGAGACUUUUUGCAUGUACCUUAUGAAUAAGGACCGGCUAAUUCCGUG